CACGUAGGGUGCGAGCGUUGUCCGGAAUUAUUGGGCGUAAAGAGCUCGUAGGCGGUGCUCUAAGUCUGUUGUGAAAUCUCCCGGCUUAACCGGGAGGGUGCGGCGGAAACUGGAGUGCUUGAGGGUGGGAGAGGUAAGCGGAAUUCCUGGUGUAGCGGUGAAAUGCGUAGAUAUGACAUAGAACACCAAUUGCGAAGGCAGCUGGCUACACAUAUAUUGACACUGAGGCACGAAAGCGUGGGGAUCAAACAGG
rnacentral:rRNA from 1 species